rnacentral:tRNA from 1 species
GCGUCCAUGGUGUAGUGGUUGAGCAUGUCUCUUUCCCACUUUUCUAGCCGGAUUGAAGAGGAGGUCGCGGGUUCGAACCCCGCUGGUCGCA